UGGUGUUACAAAUUCCGCAUGUUAUUAGAAACUAAAGUAUUUAGUCGGUUAUGGAGUGGGGAUGACGUAAGAUUAGGUAGUAGGCGGGGUAACGGCCCACCUAGCCGACGAUCUUUAGGGGUUCUGAGAGGAAGGUCCCCCACACUGGUACUGAGACACGGACCAGACUCCUACGGGAGGCAGCAGUGAGGAAUAUUGGUCAAUGGGCGGAAGCCUGAACCAGCCAAGUAGCGUGAAGGAUUACAGCCCUACGGGUUUAAACUUCUUUAUAUAAGAGUAAUGUGCACUACGUGUAGUGUAUUGCAAGUAUUAUAUGAAUAAGCAUCGGCUAACUCCGUG
rnacentral:rRNA from 1 species